rnacentral:lncRNA from 1 species
CACGGACUCUGAUUCACCAUUUAGAGAGGACUCACUGGUUUUCUCUUCCUGGGCCGUGCGUGGAAAGAAGCACCUGCCUUGCCUCCUUCCCUCCUUUGCCUGUCCAAAGGUGAAUGAUAUGAGUCGGGCAGUGUGCAUGUCUUCCCAGAAGAAAAAAUGAGGCUCAGAUGUGACUCGGUGUCCCCGUUCCAGGAAGGUGCAGAGUGCUGACAGCCACGCCCUGGAGCUUGCGCUUGCCAGUGCUUGCUCUCAGAACUGACUCCUGAGGGAAGGCAAGUGUUUGAAUUGACUUUCUCCAAGGUUCUCACUCUUAGGAAGAUGCAGGUGGAGUUAUCUGUGAUUCUCCCUGUAGGUCAGUGUCUCUGGGAUGCCUUCCCCUUCCUUGACCUCCAUGGGGCCUUCCUCAGCUGAUCACUCACUGUUCCUGCCUCCCAGCCGAUGGCUCUGAUUCUCAAUGGCUUCUGCAUAGUGAAUGCUGUCAGGCAAUCUUCCUGGAUAUCUCCUUCACGACGUUGCUCCUUCUGCCUGAGAAUCUGUAACGAGCACGGAAGGUCUCUGGAUGUUGUGGGGACAUGCUGGGUUGUUCUGAUGGGCCUUUUGGGGGCUCCUGUCC